rnacentral:rRNA from 1 species
UACGGAGGGUGCAAGCGUUAUCCGGAUUUAUUGGGUUUAAAGGGUGCGUAGGCGGUUAUAUAAGUCAGUGGUGAAAUCCUGCAGCUCAACUGUAGAACCGCCAUUGAAACUGUGUGACUUGAGUAAUCUUGAGGUAGGCGGAAUGUGUGGUGUAGCGGUGAAAUGCUUAGAUAUUACACAGAACACCGAUUGCGAAGGCAGCUUACUAAGGAUUUACUGACGCUGAUGCACGAAAGCGUGGGGAUCAAACAGG